rnacentral:rRNA from 1 species
CACGUAGGGCGCAAGCGUUGUCCGGAAUUAUUGGGCGUAAAGAGCUCGUAGGCGGUCUGUUGCGUCUGCUGUGAAAACUCGGGGCUUAACCCCGAGCCUGCAGUGGAUACGGGCAGACUAGAGGUAGGUAGGGGAGAAUGGAAUUCCCGGUGUAGCGGUGAAAUGCGCAGAUAUCGGGAGGAACACCAAUGGCGAAGGCAGCUUGCUGGGCUCCUUCUGACACUGAGGUACGAAAGCGUGGGGAGCGAACAGG